GCUCCUGUAGUCUAGUGGCCUUUUGACUUCUGCAUUUCUUAGGACAAAACCCCAGGGAAAAGUCCUGAGGUAGACUAAGUCAAAGGUUGGAUAUUCCGGUCAAGGAUAUCAGACUCUCACUCUGAGGACCCGGGUUCGAAUCCCGGCGGGAGCA
rnacentral:tRNA from 1 species